AAAACAGUGACGAGAAGUUCUGGGUUGCCGACGACGCUGUCUCCUUAGCAACGCGGCCUGCGAGACGCCGGUGGGAUGUCAGACGUGGAAUCUGCUGGUUUUUAUCGAGCUGCUGUGACAGACACAAAAGCAGACCAGAUCAGUCCCCCCUCAGUCAGUUGGCAACCUGGCAGAUCACAUCUCCACUAUCAUUACAAUAACGCAUUUCUUGCAGGUGCAGAAACAGCAGCAGAGAAGUAAGACGGCGGCAACGAUGAGGAUGGUGGCCAGAGCCCAGGGCGGUACUGGAGCGGAACAGAGCAGUCAAGAGUUGAGGGAGAAUGGCCGGUUUUUGAGGGUGCAGAUUACUGGGGCAGCAGCAGGGUAGAAGAAAUGCCCCCUUGCUGUCAUCACUUAAUAUCAUAAUAUUUAUCGGCUGACAUCGGGAGUAACAAAGGACUUGUGCCACCAAAUUGCACACCUGUAUAGAAAUCACGAGCUAUGCAGAAUAGA